UACGUAGGGUGCAAGCGUUGUCCGGAAUUAUUGGGCGUAAAGAGCUCGUAGGCGGUCUGUCGCGUCGGCUGUGAAAACCUGGGGCUUAACUCCGGGCCUGCAGCCGAUACGGGCAGACUAGAGUUCGGCAGGGGAGACUGGAAUUCCUGGUGUAGCGGUGAAAUGCGCAGAUAUCAGGAGGAACACCGGUGGCGAAGGCGGGACUCUGGGCCGAUACUGACGCUGAGGAGCGAAAGCGUGGGGAGCAAACAGG
rnacentral:rRNA from 1 species